UGGGGGAUCGUUCAAUGGCAGGACAUCGGACUCUGACUCCGCGAAUAGGGGUUCAAAUCCCUUUCCCCCAGCCA
rnacentral:tRNA from 1 species